rnacentral:rRNA from 1 species
UACGAAGGGGGCUAGCGUUGCUCGGAAUUACUGGGCGUAAAGGGCGCGUAGGCGGAUGUUUAAGUCAGAGGUGAAAGCCCAGGGCUCAACCUUGGAACUGCCUUUGAUACUGGGCAUCUUGAGUAUGGGAGAGGUGAGUGGAACUCCGAGUGUAGAGGUGAAAUUCGUAGAUAUUGGGAAGAACACCGGUGGCGAAGGCGGCUCACUGGCCAGUUUCUGACGC